UUUUAUGUACAUGCCUACAACAUAACAUUAAUGCAGUGGAUCCCAUUAGAACUCCGCAGUUAAGCAUGCUCAGGCUAGAGUAGUACUGGGAUGGGUGACUGCCUGAGUGAUAUAAUUGAUGUGAAGG
rfam:Picea glauca, whole genome shotgun sequence.